CCUACGGGAUGCAGCAGUGAGGAAUAUUGGUCAAUGGGCGCGAGCCUGAACCAGCCAAGUAGCGUGAAGGAUGAAUGCCCUACGGGUUGUAAACCUCUUUUAUAAGGGAAUAAAGUGAGGCACGUGUGCCUUUUUGUAUGUACUUUAUGAAUAAGGAUCGGCUAACUCCGUGCCAGCAGCCGCGGUAAUACGGAGGAUCCGAGCGUUAUCCGGAUUGAUUGGGUUUAAAGGGAGCGUAGGUGGGUUGUUAAGUCAGUUGUGAAAGUUUGUGGCUCAACCGUAAAAUUGCAAUUGAUACUGGCAGCCUUGAGUACAGUUGAGGUAGGCGGAAUGCGUGGUGUAGCGGUGAAAUGCUUAGAUAUCACGAAGAACUCCGAUUGCGAAGGCAGCUUACCAAGCUGCCACUGACAUUGAUGCACGAAAGCGUGGGUAUCAAACAGGAUUAGAUACCCCGGUAGUC
rnacentral:rRNA from 1 species